rnacentral:rRNA from 1 species
GAUGAACGCUGGCGGAGUGCCUAAUACAUGCAAGUCGAGCGGCAGCACGAGUAGUUUACUACUUGGUGGCGAGCGGCGGACGGCUGAGUAACGCGUGGGAACGUGCCCCAAAGUGAGGAAUAACUGCCCGAAAGGGUAGCUAAUGCCGCAUAUGAUCUUCGGAUUAAAGUAUUUAUUACGCUUUGGGAGCGGCCCGCGUC